GAAACAUCUUAGUACCCGGAGGAAGAGAAAGAAAAUUCGAUUCCCUUAGUAGCGGCGAGCGAAACGGGAAGAGCCCAAACCAACAAGCUUGCUUGUUGGGGUUGUAGGACACUCUAUACGGAGUUACAAAGGACGACAUUAGACGAAUCAUCUGGAAAGAUGAAUCAAAGAAGGUAAUAAUCCUGUAGUCGAAAAUGUUGUCUCUCUUGAGUGGAUCCUGAGUACGACGGAGCACGUGAAAUUCCGUCGGAAUCUGGGAGGACCAUCUCCUAAGGCUAAAUACUCUCUAGUGACCGAUAGUGAACCAGUACCGUGAGGGAAAGGUGAAAAGCACCCCGGAAGGGGAGUGAAAUAGAACCUGAAACCGUGUGCUUACAAGUAGUCAGAGCCCGUUAAUGGGUGAUGGCGUGCCUUUUGUAGAAUGAACCGGCGAGUUACGAUUUGAUGCAAGGUUAAGCAGUAAAUGUGGAGCCGUAGCGAAAGCGAGUCUGAAUAGGGCGUUUAGUAUUUGGUCGUAGACCCGAAACCAGGUGAUCUACCCUUGGUCAGGUUGAAGUUCAGGUAACACUGAAUGGAGGACCGAACCGACUUACGUUGAAAAGUGAGCGGAUGAACUGAGGGUAGCGGAGAAAUUCCAAUCGAACCUGGAGAUAGCUGGUUCUCUCCGAAAUAGCUUUAGGGCUAGCCUCAAGUGAUGAUUAUU
rnacentral:rRNA from 1 species